rnacentral:rRNA from 1 species
GAUGAACGCUGGCGGCAUGCCUAAUACAUGCAAGUCGAGCGAACGGACGAGAAGCUUGCUUCUCUGAUGUUAGCGGCGGACGGGUGAGUAACACGUGGAUAACCUACCUGUAAGACUGGGAUAACUUCGGGAAACCGUAGCUAAUACCGGAUAAUAUUUUGAACCGCAUGGUUCAAAAGUGAAAGACGGUCUUGCUGUCACUUAUAGAUGGAUCCGCGCUGCAUUAGCUAGUUGGUAAGGUAACGGCUUACCAAGGCAACGAUGCAUAGCCGACCUGAGAGGGUGAUCGGCCACACUGGAACUGAGACACGGUCCAGACUCCUACGGGAGGCAGCAGUAGGGAAUCUUCCGCAAUGGGCGAAAGCCUGACGGAGCAACGCCGCGUGAGUGAUGAAGGUCUUCGGAUCGUAAAACUCUGUUAUUAGGGAAGAACAUAUGUGUAAGUAACUGUGCACAUCUUGACGGUACCUAAUCAGAAAGCCACGGCUAACUACGUGCCAGCAGCCGCGGUAAUACGUAGGUGGCAAGCGUUAUCCGGAAUUAUUGGGCGUAAAGCGCGCGUAGGCGGUUUUUUAAGUCUGAUGUGAAAGCCCACGGCUCAACCGUGGAGGGUCAUUGGAAACUGGAAAACUUGAGUGCAGAAGAGGAAAGUGGAAUUCCAUGUGUAGCGGUGAAAUGCGCAGAGAUAUGGAGGAACACCAGUGGCGAAGGCGACUUUCUGGUCUGUAACUGACGCUGAUGUGCGAAAGCGUGGGGAUCAAACAGGAUUAGAUACCCUGGUAGUCCACGCCGUAAACGAUGAGUGCUAAGUGUUAGGGGGUUUCCGCCCCUUAGUGCUGCAGCUAACGCAUUAAGCACUCCGCCUGGGGAGUACGACCGCAAGGUUGAAACUCAAAGGAAUUGACGGGGACCCGCACAAGCGGUGGAGCAUGUGGUUUAAUUCGAAGCAACGCGAAGAACCUUACCAAAUCUUGACAUCCUUUGACAACUCUAGAGAUAGAGCCUUCCCCUUCGGGGGACAAAGUGACAGGUGGUGCAUGGUUGUCGUCAGCUCGUGUCGUGAGAUGUUGGGUUAAGUCCCGCAACGAGCGCAACCCUUAAGCUUAGUUGCCAUCAUUAAGUUGGGCACUCUAAGUUGACUGCCGGUGACAAACCGGAGGAAGGUGGGGAUGACGUCAAAUCAUCAUGCCCCUUAUGAUUUGGGCUACACACGUGCUACAAUGGACAAUACAAAGGGCAGCGAAACCGCGAGGUCAAGCAAAUCCCAUAAAGUUGUUCUCAGUUCGGAUUGUAGUCUGCAACUCGACUACAUGAAGCUGGAAUCGCUAGUAAUCGUAGAUCAGCAUGCUACGGUGAAUACGUUCCCGGGUCU